GUCACAAGACGCACAUUCCAAACCCAGACAACCUCCACUUCGCCCCAACCCGAGGGUUUUGCUGUCGGCCACCGGCGAUGGAGAGGCCCUCUUCCCUUGAGGCCGAGCUCGCCGCCAAGUCCUCCCGCAUCGCGGACCUCGAGGCUAGGGUCUCGCUCCUCGAAGCCGAGAACGCGCGCUUGAGGAAGGCCAUGGUCAAGGUAGGAGCAGAGGAUCAUAUAGGCGAACAAGAUCCAAUAUUUGGUCGAUUGGAGGAGAGUUUGGUCGGAAACAAGCAAGAAGCAGUCGAGAUGGUGGGCGGGGCCGUGGCCUGCGGUGUUAUUGAGGUCAGUGACAGCGAGGAGGGCAUGGCCGUCGAAGCCAACAGUGGGAGAAACCUGGAGGAGGGCGUUGUUGCCGUCCCGACUCCUCGGAAGCGUGCGGUGCGGGUGGUGAGCGGAGAGAGCGAGGAUGAAGACGAUUUGGAGGACGCUGAGGGAGGCAGUGGAAGCGACAAGAACAGUGUGGAUCUGGAGGAUGAUGAUGUUUCGAUCAAGACGCGGGGUAAGAAGCGUGCGACAGCACGGAUGAUCACCAGCGAUAGUGAGGAUGAGGAUGUGAGCGGGGCUGGGCGUGGGAGUGGCAAGGAUGAGGGUGGUACUCUCAGUAGGAAGCGUGUGUUGCGUGGAGUGACUGAAAGCGAGAAUGAGGACGGCGAUGAGGGGGUUCAUGUGGCUCCUUCACGUGUAGCUGCGACACAGAUUCAGAGUGGGGAGGAGGACGAGGGUGAUAGGAUUCCCAUUUGUCAAGUGCUCAAGAAGAUGAGGAAAGAGAGGGUGAGUGAUGAUGAAUUGGGUGAGCCAAAAGGGUGUUCUACUCCCGCAACAAGGCGCUCGGCUCGCUUGGUUAAAAAUCAGUCCAAAAUGGGGCGAGCCGCACGCCGGGCUCUCGACUUUGUUGAACCCAAGGAAUAUGAAGGGAGUGAAGAUGAUAUGGAAGAAGGCAAUGAUAUGGAUGAGUUCAUAAAUGAUGAGGAUUCUUCAGAAAAUGCCAGUGAUUCUGCCGAAGAAUCCUGUCCUGGACCAGAAGUGUCUAGUGCAUCUUCUCUGAAUGAAGAAUCCUCUCCAGAACCAGAAGAGUCUGAUAGUGAGAUAAAUUAUGAAGAUGUUAUAGCUUGCAUAGGCCGUAAAAAGAAAUCUAAUGAUUGGAGAUUUGAGGGAGAAAUGCUAACAGCAUUUCAUGAACACCCUGAGCUUUGUUUGAAAGCUGUUUGUGCCCUCUAUCGGAAGCAAACCAAGGAUGAGCAGUUGGACAAGUCCACUUUUAUUCAUAACAAACAGGGGUUUAACCAGAUACAUGCCCGAAGGGCAUCUUGCAUUGCGGAGUUUCUUCUGGAUGGUGAUCCAUAUGGUCCACUUAAGAAGACAGUCCGUGAUUUGGAAGCGUAUGAUUGUUAUGCUCUUGAGUUCUGUCGCAUGGUGGCUUCACAUUACUCAAAACAACUGUUUGCAAUUUAUCAGAACAAGGAGGACCCCUACUUUCUUCCAUAGCUCUGAAAGGCGUCAUUGCACCAAGAACUGAUUGUGCCUUCCCUUUCUAAGUAUCUAGCGCAUGGACCACCUUAACCGGCACCACUCGUUUCCUGUCCAGCUAGAAGUUUUAACCGAUUCACACAUGAUUCAGCACUGUUUGGCGUGUGAACUCCGUGUGUGCUGGGACAUGUGCUGAUAAGCUGAACCUUCCGGGGAGUCUCUUUCAAUGUUGCAGCAUCGAGUUGGUUACAAGUUGCUUUGCGGUGCUUGACAAGUUGCAAAUUGGAAGGCGCAUUGUCAAGAUAUCAACGGCACGUGAUAGUGAUACCUUCGUUCCCUAAGAAAAGCUACUACUAGUAGUUGUUGUAUGUAUUCCCUGAUGCAAUGCAACGAAAGCCAUAUUGUAUGGACAGAUAACUGCUGCAGAGAUGACUAGACGUCGCCGGGGUGGAGCAAGACAGGGAGAUAUUAGCCUGUCAAUCUGUGUCCCCAGCCCACAAGAGCACCGCACUAUCUCUGUACUACCCGAAUACAACUUGACUUGUUGGUCCUCGCAAUGGUACUGAUUGUGCUUGGAACAUGUGCAUCUGAUCGUCUGGAUGGAACCAAUAGACU